rnacentral:rRNA from 1 species
AUUGAACGCUGGCGGCAGGCCUAACACAUGCAAGUCGAGCGGAUGAAGGGAGCUUGCUCCUGGAUUCAGCGGCGGACGGGUGAGUAAUGCCUAGGAAUCUGCCUGGUAGUGGGGGAUAACGUCCGGAAACGGGCGCUAAUACCGCAUACGUCCUGAGGGAGAAAGGGGGGGAGCUUCGGACCUCACGCUAUCAGAUGAGCCUAUGUCGGAUUAGCGAGUUGGUGGGGUAAAGGCCUACCAAGGCGACGAUCCGUAACUGGUCUGAGAGGAUGAUCAGUCACACUGGAACUGAGACACGGUCCAGACUCCUACGGGAGGCAGCAGUGGGGAAUAUUGGACAAUGGGCGAAAGCCUGAUCCAGCCAUGCCGCGUGUGUGAAGAAGGUCUUCGGAUUGUAAAGCACUUUAAGUUGGGAGGAAGGGCAGUAAGUUAAUACCUUGCUGUUUUGACGUUACCAACAGAAUAAGCACCGGCUAACUUCGUG